rnacentral:lncRNA from 1 species
UUUUUUUUUUUUUUUUUUUUGUCUUUUUGUCUUUUUGCUAUUUCUUUGGGCCGCUCCCUCGGCAUAUGGAGGUUCCCAGGCUAGGGGUCGAAUCAGUGCUGUAGCCACCAGCCUACACCAGAGCCACAGCAACGCGGGAUCCGAGCCGCGUCUGCAACCUACACCACAGCUCACGGCAACGCCGGAUCGUUAACCCACUGAGCAAGGGCAGGGACCGAACCCGAAACCUCAUGGUUCCUAGUCGGAUUCGUUAACCACUGCGCCACGACGGGAACUCCGAAAAUAAAGCUUUGAAUAGUGUUGGAGUGUGUGACACAAACAUUACUGACAAAGAUAUGUUGCAGGUUGAUUUUUAUCUAAUAUAUAAGUAUGACAAGUAAACAAUACAUGGAUAUGAUUCAAUAUGUGCUGUAUUCAGAAUGCAUGUCUAAUCUGCUUAAAAGAAACCAAUCACAUAACUAUAUGUAGCCUUUAUAGACUGGCACUAGUAACACCAGUCAACAAAGAAAAAUUCUUUACUCUAGUUGCACGACUAAUUUUUACAAAGAGUGAAAAAUUCAGUGAAAAAUGCUGAUUAAAAAUAGCUUGGGAGUUCCCAUCAUGGUGCAGCAGAAACGAAUCUGACUAGGAACCAUGAGGCUGUGGGUUUGAUCCCGCAGCCUCAUUCAGUAGGUUAAGGAUCUGGCAUUGCCGUGAGCUGUGGUGUAGGUCACAGAUGAGGCUUGGAUCCCAUGUUGCUGUGGCUGUGGUGUAGGCUGGCAGCUGUAGCUCCGAUUUGACCCCUAACUUCCAUUUGCUGUGUGUGUGACCCUAAAAGGCAAAAAAAAAAAAAAAGAAAAGAAAGAAAGAAAAAAACAACAAACCAAUAGUUUCGCUGGAGUUCCUUUCGUGGCUCAGUGAUAAAGAACCCAACUAGUAGUCAUAAGGAGCAAUGUGCACAGAUAUAUUAAGGUGCAGAAAAAUGAAAUUAUAUGAGAAUCCUGGUUUUCUCUGCCCAAAUAGUAAGAAAAGCCCAAUCAUCUGAUAAUCCAUAAAAAGAGAGAGACACUGCAAGAAGAGAGAAUAAGAGUGCUGGUAAAGAGAGCUCAGAUUCCAUUUCAAAGAAAAGAUUUGGCAAACACCAAGGGGGGAGGAGGGGAGAGAUGGGGGAAGGAUUGAAAAUUUUAAGAUACUGAUAAUCUAGUACCCAUUGAAAAAGAGUAGAAUCAAAACAGAACUAACGACACUGAGUUGGAAGAUCUGGGCUAAAUAUUUAUCCCAGUUCUGCAAUUUAGGCAAAUGACCUUCACUAAAUCCUUUACUUCGUCUCUCUACUUCUCAGCUUCUGAAUUUAUAAAACAAAAAUAAUACAUGUCCCACCUGUAACAAAGGUUGUUAUAAGGGUCAAAGAGAUUAUGUAAAAGCACUCUGAAUAAUAUAAAAGCCCAUAAAAUAGUCAAGAACAACUUAAGAUAACUCAAAAGGAUCACUUUUAUUUUUAUUUAUUUCUUUAUUUUGCUUUUUAGGGCCACACCUAUGGCAUAUGGAGGUUCCCAGUUCAAGAAAGCAGACUGAGCUCAUGUGUUUAAUCUCCCCUCUUCCCUUCCAAAUUCCCACCAAUAGAACAGUAAAGGGCAUAAUCCAUUGAGAAGAGGAUAGGGACCACAGGAGACCAAAUUUUGAUAAUUUUCUGGAUGACAGGUAGCAAACGAGACUACACUGACAAAUAUAUGAUAGCGGAGGAGACCCAACUUAAAGAAUGACAAAGAGGUGCAAUAGAAGCAGAAGUCAGCUUUCCCAGCAAAGAGUGGGAGAUGCCCCAAGCUUAGACAGUGAACAGCAACAAGAAAUGGGGCAAUAAAUAAAAGAAGGCUUAAGUAACACCUGGGCCAUUUGGUCCUUCUCCACACCUUAUAGGACAAAGCCAGACAACCAUUCUCCAAGAAUAAUUAAAAUGUAAAAUUAAAAGUAUAACAAAUAGAGUUGGGGAUACUAUCUCUUCUUUAUAUAAUGAAAGUCAAGAAAUAAUAUCUCAUGUUGAUAGACUCAAAAUUAAAGAAUAUAUUAUUUGUCUUUUUUUUUCCUGUCCUUUCCAGGGCUGCACCCAUGGCACAUCGAGGCUCCCAGGCCAGGGGUCCAAUCUGAGCCAUAGCCGACGGCCUACACUAGAGCCACAGCAAUGCGGGAUCUGAGCCGCGUCUGCAACCUACACCACAGCUCAUGGCAACACCGGAUGCCCAACCCACCGAGCAAGGCCAAGGAUUGAAUCCACAACUUCAUGGUUCCUAGUUGGAUUCGUUGACCACUGAGCCAUGACAGGAACUCCUGUCUUUUGUCUUUUUAGGGCCAUACCCGCAGCAUAUGGAGGUUCCCAGGCUAGGGGUUGAAUUGGAGCUGUAGCUGCCUGCCACCACAGCCAGAGCAACUCAAGAUCAGAGAUGUUCCGACUAGGAACCAUGAGGUUGCGGGUUUGAUCCCUGGCCUUGCUCGGUGGGUUAAGGAUCCAGCGUUGCCGUGAGCUGUGGUGUAGGUUACAGACACGGCUCAGAUCCUGCAUUGCUGUGGCUCUGGUGUGGGCCAGUGGCUACAGCUCCGAUUGGACCCCUAGCCUGGGACCCUCCAUAUGCUGCGGGAGAGGCCCAAGGAAUGGCAAAAAGACAAAAAAAAAAAAAAAAAAAAGACAAAAGACCAAAAAAAAAUUGUGAUUUAAACAUACAGUGGGUAGCUAGCAGGAAAACAAAAAACAGUAAGAUUAAGUGUGUUCUCCUCUGAAUCGUAAGACUAUAGGAAAGAAAAAAGAAGCUACAGAACUUUUCUCAUUUGUGAAAAGGGAACACUUUUAUAUGAAAAUUACUCUCUAACUACUUGGAAAAGAUUCUUCCAAAAUGGACUGACCCAGAAAGUUAGCCUGAGGGACAUAAAAUCUGACCAUCUACUAGGAUAUCUUUCAACCUUUAGGAAAAAAAACAGACAUAACUCUUCAGGUCUUGAGAGCAAAUUAUCUUCCUAAGCAUACAAGUAAGGAAAAAGGAAUGGAACUGAGAAAUAAGGAAGAUUUUAUCUUUCAGCAUUUUGAUAAAAAAUGAGCCAGAAUGAGGGGCUGUAAUUCCCUAAUCCUUCAGGCUAAAGAAUGGCAAUUGGGAACAGUGUUUUCAACCUCAAAUUCCUAUUCUGGAAGUUGUUAAUCAGCUUGAAUGGUGGAUGGCUUAAUUAUAUAAGGACCACAUUAAUGUCUCAAAGGAGGGAGAGUGAUCUGAUAGGAGGUUUUAAUUUGAAACACUCUUCAUAAAAUUAAAAAUGAAUGCCAAACAGACUAUAAUCUCUGC